AUCGGUCUCAUUUUUCCUUCCACGCUCCGGGUUAAGGCGCACAUUCGCCACACAACAAUCGAAGACAGCCCUCUGGUUGGAAUGUGCUUCGGCUCAAAGAUGUGUGGUGUUUGGAGAAUGCACGGAGAUCAUUCCUGCAAUUACAGCGAUCCUCCAUGUAGAGAUCGAACCCAGGGGCACUUGACCAGUCCCAUUUUUGUCUCCACAUCUCGUGACCUAUCCUGAGGAAUUUGAUUAUCUCCAAGAGUGAAUGCAGGGUUUCCUGAUAACGACAAAUUUUUCCAUUUUAUGAAGCAACUCAUUUCCAUAUACUGCUGAAAAUACUCCAGCAUUAGCAGGUGCUGUUACCAAUGUCUACUUACUGGUUCAAAGGUCUAGCAUCUUGUCUGGAUUCCAAGAAUGAUUUGAGAGAAAGCAAGUCAUAUCUGCCUAACUUCAACCUGAAGUUAAAGCCCCCAAGUCUGAGGAAAGACAAGAUGAAGAUAAAUGCAGGCAUCCAUCCAAGUCUUGGAGGACAUCAGAUUUCCAGAUCUUUCCUUGUGCAUCCUAGCUGUUCAAGUUAACACACAAUCAUUUUGAUCUUCCUAAUAAAGCUCUUUUUCUUAA